AUCGCUUCUCGGCCUUUUGGCUCAGAUCAAGUGUAGUAUCUGUUCUUAUCAGUUUAAUAUCUGAUACGUCCCCCAUCGGGGGACUACAUAUUAAAUGGAUUUUUCGAACAGGGAGUCGGAAAUGGGGCUUGCUCCGUCCGCUCCACGCAUCGACCCGGUAUUGCAGUACCUCCGG
rnacentral:snRNA from 8 species